GAUAAACGCUGGCGGCAUGCUUAACACAUGCAAGUUGUACGAAGGUAUUUUUUCUCUCGGGAAAAGAUAUACUGAGUGGCGGACGGGUGAGUAACACGUAAGAACCUACCUUUUGGAAAGGGACAACUAUUGGAAACGAUAGCUAAUACCUUAUAUUGCUGAGAAGUGAAAAAUGAAAAUUGCCAAGAGAUGGGCUUGCGCCUGAUUAGCUAGUUGGUGUGGUAAAGGCAUACCAAGGCAAUGAUCAGUAGCUGUUCUGAGAGGAUGAUCAGCCACACUGGGACUGAGACACGGCCCAGACUCCUACGGGAGGCAG
rnacentral:rRNA from 1 species